rnacentral:rRNA from 1 species
GACCAUCCUCCAAGGCUAAAUACUCCUGACUGACCGAUAGUGAACCAGUACCGUGAGGGAAAGGCGAAAAGAACCCCUGUGAGGGGAGUGAAAUAGAACCUGAAACCGUGUACGUACAAGCAGUAGGAGCACCUUCGUGGUGUGACUGCGUACCUUUUGUAUAAUGGGUCAGCGACUUAUAUUCAGUGGCAAGGUUAACCGUAUAGGGGAGCCGUAGCGAAAGCGAGUCUUAACUGGGCGCUCAGUCUCUGGAUAUAGACCCGAAACCGGGUGAUCUAGCCAUGGGCAGGUUGAAGGUUGAGUAACAUCAACUGGAGGACCGAACCGACUAAUGUUGAAAAAUUAGCGGAUGACUUGUGGCUAGGGGUGAAAGGCCAAUCAAACUCGGAGAUAGCUGGUUCUCCCCGAAAGCUAUUUAGGUAGCGCCUCGGACGAAUACUACUGGGGGUAGAGCACUGUUAAGGCUAGGGGGUCAUCCCGACUUACCAACCCUUUGCAAACUCCGAAUACCAGUAAGUACUAUCCGGGAGACACACGGCGGGUGCUAACGUCCGUCGUGGAGAGGGAAACAACCCAGACCGCCAGCUAAGGUCCCAAAGUAUUGCUAAGUGGGAAACGAUGUGGGAAGGCUCAGACAGCUAGGAUGUUGGCUUAGAAGCAGCCAUCAUUUAAAGAAAGCGUAAUAGCUCACUAGUCGAGUCGGCCUGCGCGGAAGAUGUAACGGGGCUAAGCAAUACACCGAAGCUGCGGCAAUGUCUUUUAGACAUUGGGUAGGGGAGCGUUCUGUAAGCCGUUGAAGGUGAAUCGUAAGGUUUGCUGGAGGUAUCAGAAGUGCGAAUGCUGACAUGAGUAACGACAAAGGGGGUGAAAAACCUCCUCGCCGGAAGACCAAGGGUUCCUGUCCAACGUUAAUCGGGGCAGGGUGAGUCGACCCCUAAGGUGAGGCCGAAAGGCGUAAUCGAUGGGAAACGGGUUAAUAUUCCCGUACUUCUGACUAUUGCGAUGGGGGGACGGAGAAGGCUAGGUGGGCCAGGCGACGGUUGUCCUGGUUCAAGUGCGUAGGCUUGAGAGUUAGGUAAAUCCGGCUCUCUCUAAGGCUGAGACACGACGUCGAGCUACUACGGUAGUGAAGUCAUUGAUGCCAUGCUUCCAGGAAAAGCCUCUAAGCUUCAGAUAGUCAGGAAUCGUACCCCAAACCGACACAGGUGGUCGGGUAGAGAAUACCAAGGCGCUUGAGAGAACUCGGGUGAAGGAACUAGGCAAAAUGGUACCGUAACUUCGGGAGAAGGUACGCUCUUGAUGGUGAAGUCCCUCGCGGAUGGAGCUGACGAGAGUCGCAGAUACCAGGUGGCUGCAACUGUUUAUUAAAAACACAGCACUGUGCAAAAUCGCAAGAUGACGUAUACGGUGUGACGCCUGCCCGGUGCCGGAAGGUUAAUUGAUGGGGUUAGCGCAAGCGAAGCUCUUGAUCGAAGCCCCGGUAAACGGCGGCCGUAACUAUAACGGUCCUAAGGUAGCGAAAUUCCUUGUCGGGUAAGUUCCGACCUGCACGAAUGGCGUAAUGAUGGCCACGCUGUCUCCACCCGAGACUCAGUGAAAUUGAAAUCGCUGUGAAGAUGCAGUGUACCCGCGGCUAGACGGAAAGACCCCGUGAACCUUUACUACAGCUUGGCACUGAACAUUGAACCUACAUGUGUAGGAUAGGUGGGAGGCUAUGAAGACGUGACGCCAGUUGCGUUGGAGCCGUCCUUGAAAUACCACCCUUGUAUGUUUGAUGUUCUAACUUAGACCCAUUAUCUGGGUUGAGGACAGUGCCUGGUGGGUAGUUUGACUGGGGCGGUCUCCUCCCAAAGAGUAACGGAGGAGCACGAAGGUGGGCUAAUCACGGUUGGACAUCGUGAGGUUAGUGCAAUGGCAUAAGCCCGCUUAACUGCGAGAAUGACGGUUCGAGCAGGUGCGAAAGCAGGUCAUAGUGAUCCGGUGGUUCUGUAUGGAAGGGCCAUCGCUCAACGGAUAAAAGGUACUCCGGGGAUAACAGGCUGAUACCGCCCAAGAGUUCAUAUCGACGGCGGUGUUUGGCACCUCGAUGUCGGCUCAUCACAUCCUGGGGCUGAAGUCGGUCCCAAGGGUAUGGCUGUUCGCCAUUUAAAGUGGUACGCGAGCUGGGUUUAGAACGUCGUGAGACAGUUCGGUCCCUAUCUGCCGUGGGCGUUGGAAGAUUGAAGGGGGCUGCUCCUAGUACGAGAGGACCGGAGUGGACGAACCUCUGGUGUUCGGGUUGUGUCGCCAGACGCAUUGCCCGGUAGCUAAGUUCGGAAUUGAUAAGCGCUGAAAGCAUCUAAGCGCGAAGCGAGCCCUGAGAUGAGUCUUCCCUGACAGUUUAACUGUCCUAAAGGGUUGUUCGAGACUAGAACGUUGAUAGGCAGGGUGUGUAAGCGUUGUGAGGCGUUGAGCUAACCUGUACUAAUUGCCCGUGAGGCUUAACCAUACAACACCCAAGGGGUUUUGUA